CACGAAAAACAAGAGACAUAUUUGAUGCUUUUAUAUUCUUCUUCUUAUAAUUAUAUUCUUACUCUGAGCAGCAUUCAAGUUGUGAAAUAAUCACUUAUCCCUCAGUUACUAGGAGAGCCAUGCUCUAUUGACACAGUGAGAACACACAGAUGGGUGUUUCCUCAUAAAGACAAUUAUCUUGUGACAACAAAAAUACUAGGAAAGCCAUGUGCACAUGAGAUGGGAGAAAAUUUUAGAAAUUCUUUUUGGUGUGCAACCUCUGCUUUAGGGCAAGGUUGAGGGCCAGGUAAACAUCCUAUGUAUACACUCCAUGCAUCUGAACAGCAUUGAAAUAGUCUCGGAUUUUGACCCAGUGUCUGGUGGCAAGAAACAGACCUUGGCACAACAUUGAGCUGCAUGUAAGCCUCAUGCUCCCAGGGCUUAGACAGCACCAUGAAGGUGCCCCGCCCCUCCUCUCCUGUGGUACUCUCCUUGGAAAGACAAGUUCUUCAAGGUGGGUCUCCAUCAACAUGUUCCUUUCCAGGGAUACAUUCAUGGCCCACCGGGCUUCUUGCUGUUGAUUUUUUUCCUCCUUGUAGGUUGACAAUCUUAGGAAUUUUUAAGAUUUAAAUUUAGAACAACUGCAGACUCACACUUAAGGAACCUGCUCCAGGAGGUGUUAUAGCAAGUAUUAGAGCCUUCCAGCACCCCAGAAAGAGGGAACCAAGAGGAGCUUCAGAAGUCCUCAGAAGAAAAUAUUCUUCCUUUCAUCAAAGAAGAAAAAUAGCUCUAGAAAAGAGAGAUGUUAAUGCCGGUGCAAGGACAGUCAAAGGCACGCAGGGACUUCCGCCCAGACGUUCUUGCCUCCCAGUCUAGAACACAGUGUACUUUUUAUUGCUGCUUCAUAUUGCUAUUUAUGAAUGAGGUUAAGUUGGUUAAUGCCCUUCUCUGUUUCUUACUUUUCCCAUGAGAAAAAUGAAGGUCCACAUCUUACAAUAUGUGGUCUGUGCAACUCAAAACUUAGAAUGUUAAGAGGUGUUAGAAGCUACAAAAGAUUUCAUGAGCAAGAUGAUUGGGGAACACCUGGUUUAAGAAAACUAAACAGAUGUCUUUGCAGUGAGAUAUCUCAAAGCCUUUAAUACGGCAGUGAACAUCAUGGAGUUCCAAGUAUUGCUGGGUUUCCCAUAUUUUACAAAUUUAUUAGGUUACAAGCUGAUAUCUGCUGGACCAAUUCUCCCUAGACCUCACAUCCAAUUCCAAUUCUUCUUUAAAGACAGUCUCCCUGGCCAAGAGGCACUGAUUUCAGGGUAAAUGGAUCUUUGUAAAGAUGUUUCCUGGAAUUAUUUAUUUUAUUUUAUUUUUUGCCCUGGGAGACUAGUUAAGUAGGAUGAGAGGCAGCCCUGCUUUGACAUCAUGUAAGAAAAAGACUGGGGAAGUCAGUUUUGUGAAACAUCAGCUCUUUUUAGUGGUAUUAAUCCUACCUCCACUCCUGAAGAAGGAAGGAAAAAAGAAAGGUGGAAAGGGGGAAGGGAAAGAGGAAGGGAGUGAAGGAAGAAGGGAGGGUGGCAGGAAGGGAAGAAGGAAGGAAGGAAAGAAGAAAGAAUAGAAGGAAGGAAGGAAAAGGAAGGAAAGAAAUACUUGGUUACUUAAUAAUCAAGAAAAACCAAGUUUAGAAAUACAGGCUUAAAAGAAAUAGAAGAAUAACCAUAUGAACAGUGGUUUACUUUUCCAGAGAAGCAAGACAAGAGGAAACUAGGAGAACAAGCAUUAUUGUUUUUAUCAGUUUAAACUUCAUUUCAUUUCUUAAGAAACAGUCAGGAUGGUCUCUGAUUGUGCUUAAAUCUCAGGUAGCUUAAGAGGCCAUGGGUUUGCAGAGGGUGAUCAAUAUUAUGUGCUUCCUCUAAGACUGCUCAAGGCAUCCCUGGGCAAGAAGUUGAUAUGUGCUCAGCAACCACUGUGUUCAUAUGUGCAUGUCCAUGCGUGCACAUCCUAGUUACAGCACAGGAAAAAGACACUGUGUCCAGAGUUCACUUUGCUUCCACCUCAUUGGUAUGGUAUUCCUGGCCUUGGAUCCAGGCCAUAAAGAUCAACCUUUGAUAAGCUGCUUUUGGCAACUUAGAUUGUGUCUGUUAUUUAUCGGGCCAUGCAGGAUGGAUCAUGUAACAAGGUGUAUUUUUUUCCUUGCUGCCUGGGCAUGUGGGAGGACAUGCAUGUAGACACAUAGGCUGAUGGAGAAAAGAGAUGAACAAGUAUCUCUCAAGUGCUGAUGCUGGUUUUUUUUUUUUUUUUCUUCUGUUGUUGUUAUCGUCUCUCCUCACCAUUUCUUCAUGACCACAGAGGCUGCCUAUGUGUCAGCAGAGAGCUUUCUGGGAUGGUUAUUAUGUGGAGGCAUCAUGAUAAUGAACAGUGAUGACAGAGAGAAGUACACAUAGGCUCUGUAAGUCUCAUUCCCACUUUCCAUAGUCAAAGCAACACUCCCCCAAGGCAGGUGCUUCAUCACACUCACGACCUUGCAACAUUUAUAAGCUAUUCUUCACUUCUACUUCAUUCAUUGCCCCUGUCUUCAGAGUUAAAUGUAAUUGGACCCAUUUUACAAGAAAGAAGCUGAAGCACAGAGAUCAAGUGAUACUCUGGCCUCCUCAGAAAGAAAUUGCAGCAAAGCUGGUGUAUGCCUCCAAUUUGAAAAUUACAGAUUGUUGUAGGAGAGAAAAAAUCAAGGAUUAAACUCCUUCAGCACCCAUCACACUCAAGGCUUGGGCUGCUAUCUGCACAUCUCUUUCUUUGCAAAAUAAAGGCAGUGGUUGGGAAGUGCAGGUUCUGGGAUGUGGAGCUGUAUAUUGGGUUUCAAGGAAGUGAUGUCUUCUUUUAGCAAGAAAAUAUGCAAGGCUCACAGUCCCUUUGCUAGACAAAUGAAGGAAAACUCAGGUAAUGAAUGAAGCUUGUCUUCUAAGAGCUGGCAAUUUUUGCAGAAAGACCAAUGUAUGGAGACUAAUCAAAACUAAGAUGGCAUAUGCUAUGAAGACAUUUUUGUAGAGAUGUUGGGAGUGAAAAAAUUGCAUCUUUGAAUCCUCAGGACAUGACAGUGCAUAUACAGAAAUGAACAAAAGUUACAAUUUCCAAGUUUUAUAACCAUAUGAGUUCGUUCUCCAUCUGUUCCCAGCCUUCCAUGACAUGCCAGUGUAUGAUCAAGUAGCCAGUGAGUCCUGCAGCCAAUUGUGGCUUUGAGCUCACAAUGAAUAAGGAUGACUGAAUGGGAAUGGGUAGGGUAUUAAGUGAAAGUUCCAUGGACAAUGUGAACCUGGGUGAAGACUCAAAGGACAGAGAUUACAAGCGUCAUGACAAGAUGUUGAGUUGUUGGUAAUAUCUAGCUUUGGAGGAAAAUUGAUGAAGAGGACCAUGAGAUAUUGAUUUCUGUAUAGAACUGGCUGUUGUAACAGUCAUACAGUUGAGUGGCUUAUGCUACAGAUACGUAUAUGGCCCAGUUUUAGAUGUUGGGAAGUUGAAAACCUAGGUGUCAGCAGAUUGAGUUCCCUAUUGAGGUCCCUAUUCCUGGUUUGGAGAUGGUUAUUUUUGAUCUAUAUACUCUAGCAGUUGAAGUUCUGCUAUCCUCUGCUUUUUUUUUUUUUUUUUAAUGACACUAAUCCAAUUGCAAGGAAUCUACUCUCAUGGCCUCAUCAAAACCAGUUGUUUCCCAAAGUUUAGUUCUCCUAAAAUCAUCAUAUUGGUCAUUAAGGCUUCAACAUGACAAUUUUGGGAAGCACAAACAUUCAUUUCCUAAGAAUUAUAGAUUCACUUUGGAUACUGGAACUUAUAUAUCAGUGUACAGAUGUGGGGAGCAUUUUAGGGUCCGUGUAACUAGAGCUAUCAGCAUAAUUUAUUAUCAGCAUAAUUUAUUAGCAUAAAUUAGUUGAACAAAAGGUUUUCAUUGUGAUGUUCCCCUACAUGCCUAUACUGUGCUUUAAUCAAAUUCACCCCAUCUUUGUUACUCUUUCCUAACCGUUUUCCUUCCUCAUCUCUCCUUUCUAAUAGUUUUAGUGGGAUUCAUUAUGCUAUUUGUAUACAUGUACAUAAUAUGACAUGAGAUUUGCAUGGAUGUGGGUAUGGACCUAGGAAAUUGUAACAAACAUAAUUUUUCUGAAUUUCACAUCCUGGGUUUAUUCAGAUUUUACCAUAUUCUUCUCUGUGAGGUUAGACUGGAAGAGAAGAUAUGAUCCCUGACCUGAGGAGACCUAGCUAGCAUACCAUAAGUGCAGAGUUAUGAAAGCUCCUUAAAGUAACACUAGAUACGUUUAUAAGUUAAUGUUGUACGUAAAACCUAGAUAAAUGUGUGUUAGUUGGAUUGGACAAGGUGUCCUGGGGCAAGUGGGAUUUGCAGUGGGCCUUGAUGAUGGCCAACAGGAGUAUGGCUAUGGUAAUGGUGAAACUAGUGGGGAAAGAAUGGGAAUAGGCAUGAGCAAGCCUAUUUACACAUGGAUGAGUCUGGUACUUGGCAGUCAGCAAGAGAUAGAAUGAUCUGAGCAUUAUUGGAGUGUCUAUCAAUUAACAAAUGACCCUACAGGGCAUAGCAUAGCAUAGGUGUUUGUAUUAUUGCCUUGUUUGCUUCUUCCUUUUUUUAGGGUAUAGUCUGUGCAAACUGUAGACAUGAGAGGGAAAGAAGGGAGGAGGGGAAGGGAG